GUCCUUAAUAUUUAAUGUGAUCAUGUUAAUUUAACAUAUGCAAGCCCAUUACAGUGUGAGAACACGGUAUAUAAAACUACCAAUUCAUUUCCAAAUCUAAGUAUUGCUUUAAGGACGGUAUUAACAACACCAGUUGCUACGGACUUAACAGAGCAAAAUAUUUUCAAACUACAUUAAUUUUUAAAAACUAAUAACUACAAUGAUUCAAGAACGACUGGCUCAUUUGACAUCAAUUGCUGUCCAAAGAACAUAAAUUAUGUAGAAAUCUGGACUGUAACAACACAGUGAUUUUGCUGAAAUGAGGGCAAAAAAAAUUUUUCAGCUGUGCCUUUAGAAGGUCGAUCUGUCUGCCCUGCUUCCUUUAAACAGAAGACGUCCCACACACCAUCAAUUCUCUGCUGCUUUCAACUCCAGUGAUCUUGCCCAGACUUUGGAAGGAGAAAUUGGAAGGCACAUGAUUAUAUGGAAGUUAGAGAGCUAUUUCUGGUACAGAGGGUUUGUAUGACUAUAGAGAGGAGGCUUGAGGAGAAGCACAUUAGAUUCCGAGGCUCUUCACAUGUUUCUGGGUCACUGAUGCUAUCAGCAUUUGAGGUCAGUGAGCAGAGGCUGGAGAUUUCAAGCACGGGUGGGUCAUGCAUUUUUUGCCCCCUCCCAUCCCAGGGGCCUGUAGAUUCCCCUAUAGCCUCCUCUGCUUUCAGCCAUCCUUCCAAUGACCAUUUCCUUUUCCUUUCCCAAGAUCCUUACCAACCAGGACUGGAACCAUCUUUAGUUUGAACUAUAUUGUAUCGAGAGCUAGAAUAGAGCUAGGGAAUGCUGCAGAGAGAGAACAUCAGGAUCAGAAAAAGGAACAAUCUUGAUCAUUUUCAAAAGCUCUGAAUCUCCAGCAAGGAGCCAGAGAGGGCUCUAAGGGAGCGGAAGAUGAACGUGAUUUCUGAAUGAGCUGGAAAUGAGGAAGAAUGGAAUAAGAACAGGCAUGAGAACCAUAGGACAGGAGGGACAGCUGAGUCAGCUGGGGCAUGGUGACUAGAAGCCAGAUUCAGGAGUGAACCUUGAUUGUCUCAUCCUUGAGAGAUAGGUUGUAAUUGAAGGAAAUUAGAAUCAUGAGAGUUGAAAGAUAAAAAUAGGAGCGAAGAUAUACAGGUUAGGAAAGCAGAUAAGAGGGGAAGCUAGUUGGAAUAGUCACAAGAGAGUUUAUGUGAAUCAGUUUUCAAGUCUUCUCAACUCCUGUGUCCGUUCCCCACCCCUCGUUCUCCACCCCAUCUAUUUUUUUUAUAUUUAAACAGAAACAAAAACAAAAGAAUGAGACCUCCAAUUGCCCUCCCGCUUUGAGCCAGCUUUCCAUUUCUGCACCAAUAAAUGAUUUUCUGAAGCAA